rnacentral:rRNA from 1 species
UACGAAGGGGGCUAGCGUUGCUCGGAGUCACUGGGCGUAAAGGGUGCGUAGGCGGGUCUUUAAGUCAGGGGUGAAAUCCUGGAGCUCAACUCCAGAACUGCCUUUGAUACUGAGGAUCUUGAGUUCGGGAGAGGUGAGUGGAACUGCGAGUGUAGAGGUGAAAUUCGUAGAUAUUCGCAAGAACACCAGUGGCGAAGGCGGCUCACUGGCCCGGUACUGACGCUGAGGCGCGAAAGCGUGGGGAGCAAACAGG